rnacentral:rRNA from 1 species
AGCGAACGCUGGCGGCAGGCUUAACACAUGCAAGUCGAGCGGGCCCUUCGGGGUCAGCGGCAGACGGGUGAGUAACACGUGGGAACGUACCCUUUGGUUCGGAAUAACGCUGGGAAACUAGCGCUAAUACCGGAUACGCCCUUUUGGGGAAAGGCUUGCUGCCGAAGGAUCGGCCCGCGUCUGAUUAGCUAGUUGGUGGGGUAAUGGCCUACCAAGGCGACGAUCAGUAGCUGGUCUGAGAGGAUGAUCAGCCACACUGGGACUGAGGCACGGCCCAGACUCCUACGGGAGGCAGCAGUGGGGAAUAUUGGACAAUGGGCGCAAGCCUGAUCCAGCCAUGCCGCGUGAGUGAUGAAGGCCUUAGGGUUGUAAAGCUCUUUUGUCCGGGACGAUAAUGACGGUACCGGAAGAAUAAGCCCCGGCUAACUUCGUG